rnacentral:lncRNA from 1 species
UGGGAAAACUAACAAAACAAAAAGGGAAAAACUAGAGGUUCAGGCUCAGAGUCCGUGUUGUUACCCUUGUAACUGUGUUCAAUCUUUCAAUCAAGAGGUUUUUCUUUUGGGCACCGUUCUUGUUAGGAUCCACUGGCUCUUAUUUUUCUCUUCUUUUUUAUGCGCUCUUUUGAGCACGCUUUUUGUCAACCUCAAUACUUCUAGAUAAGUGCUUCAUGAUACUUCUCAUAAUUUUUUCAUUUUUCUUUUUUUUUUCUUUUGAAGUUUCAUACUUUUCUAUUUUUUUCUGCACUUAUCUAGUCUUCAUCGGUGUCCCUAAAAAUUGAAGAAACCCCAAACUUAGGAUUUUCCACAGAUCUGAGGCCAAUAACACUUAUCCAAGCAAGGUGCGGUAGUGUUUAGGCUUACGGUUAUUUAUAGUGGUUAAACAACAAACAAAACGAAAUAUGACUCGAAUUGGGUGAACGAAGGGUAGUAAUGGCGGG